rnacentral:rRNA from 1 species
GACGAACGCUGGCGGCGUGCUUAACACAUGCAAGUCGAACGAAAAGAGGGAAAGAGCUUGCUCUUUCCGGAAUUGAGUGGCAAACGGGUGGGUAACACGUAAACAACCUGCCUUCAGGAUGGGGACAACAGACGGAAACGACUGCUAAUACCGAAUAAGUUCCAAGGGCCGCAUGGCCCAUGGAAGAAAAGGUGGCCUCUACCUGUAAGCUAUCGCCUGAAGAGGGGUUUGCGUCUGAUUAGCUGGUUGGAGGGGUAACGGCCCACCAAGGCGACGAUCAGUAGCCGGUCUGAGAGGAUGAACGGCCACACUGGAAUUGAGACACGGUCCAGACCCCUACGGGAGGCAGCAGUGGGGAAUCUUCCGCAAUGGGCGAAAGCCUGACGGAGCAACGCCGCGUGAGUGAUGACGGCCUUCGGGUUGUAAAACUCUGUGAUCCGGGACGAAAAGGCAGAGUGCGAAGAACAAACUGCAUUGACGGUACCGGAAAAGCAAGCCACGGCUAACUACGUG